rnacentral:rRNA from 1 species
ACCUGCGGAAGGAUCAUUACCGAGUGAGGGCCCUUUGGGUCCAACCUCCCACCCGUGUUUAUUUUACCUUGUUGCUUCGGCGGGCCCGCCUUUACUGGCCGCCGGGGGGCUCACGCCCCCGGGCCCGCGCCCGCCGAAGACACCCCCGAACUCUGUCUGAAGAUUGAAGUCUGAGUGAAAAUAUAAAUUAUUUAAAACUUUCAACAACGGAUCUCUUGGUUCCGGCAUCGAUGAAGAACGCAGCGAAAUGCGAUACGUAAUGUGAAUUGCAAAUUCAGUGAAUCAUCGAGUCUUUGAACGCACAUUGCGCCCCCUGGUAUUCCGGGGGGCAUGCCUGUCCGAGCGUCAUUGCUGCCCUCAAGCCCGGCUUGUGUGUUGGGCCCCGUCCUCCGAUUCCGGGGGACGGGCCCGAAAGGCAGCGGCGGCACCGCGUCCGGUCCUCGAGCGUAUGGGGCUUUGUCACCCGCUCUGUAGGCCCGGCCGGCGCUUGCCGAUCAACCCAAAUUUUUAUCCAGG